ensembl:lncRNA
UUAAACAUGUCAAACGGCAUAUAGUAUAUGUGGCAUAGUUUUCCUCUAAUCAAUGAAGACAAGUGAUGGCACAAAUAUUUCAAUCAUAUUUGUGAUAUUCGCAAAUCAGUCCUAUUUGUGAAUCUCAAGGUUUUUGAAAGUUAUCUCAACUCAUAUAAACCAGAAGUAGAAGUUACUUACAGAGAAAUAUGGCAACACCUUGUCUUCUUUUACUAUUCUGGCAAUCAUCUGUCCCAUAUUCUCAGCACGCGCUUCAUUGGUCUUACCUUCAACAGAGACCACAGUGCUGGAGAUCUGGCCACCACUCUCCCUGAGUAAAGUGUAGCGCCCCUGAUCCGCUUGGGUCAUCCUCUGUGCUGUCCAGCGGCCGUCCUUAACCGCGCCCCUUGCUUCCUCGUCCCCCCCUCUGUGUAUCCGUCUCCACAGGACGGAGUGUUGGUCUGAGAGGUGAGGGGUGAACUCCAACACAGACGCGUCCGCCGGCACAUUUAAGGCCAACUCCUCACCGUACACCACAUUUUGACGAACACUGCAGUCUAAUAUAUAUAUAUAUGCAUAGAUAGAUAGAUAGAUAGAUAGAUAGACAGAGACAGAUAGAUAGAUAGAUAGAUAGUUAGAUAGAUAGACAGAGAUAGAUAGAUAGACAGAUAGAUAGAUAGAUAGAUAGAUAGAUAGAUAGAUAGAUAGACAGACAGACAGGCAGACAGACAGACAGAGGUAGAGAGUACAAAGGGAGCAAAGCUAAGUAUGUAAAAUAUCUCAAUGUACAAAACAUUUCAGAGAUGACAUUUCACAACAUACUCACCUUUCAGAAUUAGUGUGAUGUGAUCCAGUUUAAAAUCGGUAGAGAAAGCCUUCCAAUAAUAACCCCCUUCAUGCACUUUCAUUACCUCGGGUAUAUAAGGUUCACUGCCAUUGAACCGAAACUGGGAGUCUAUAAUCUGGGGGGAAAAAACAUAGUCAAUUUACAGCAAACUUCCUGCUUGUUGGUUUGGACUGUAUGUAUUAUUGGAUGUACUGAUCCUUGGUCCCUGACAUAUGGGUGUUACCUCCUUGGUAGUGGCAACCUUCCUCUCAACCCCGUUCUUGUAGUACAUCAAGUCUGCUCUUAUCUUAUAUGUCCGUGUAAAAGUGAAUGGCAUCCCAGGACAUAUCGUCUUUGGCUCUGGCCCUAAGCCAUAAAAGACCCCUAUAAGAGAGGGAGAGAGGAGAAAGGGAGACAGGUGUAACUGUCAUGCAUGACCUUAGAUUACAUACCAUAAAAGCAACAAAAAUAAAAAAUACAUAUUGUAGUAAGACUAUUUAUUAUGCCAAGUAAAGUAUCAUGGUACAACUCUAUAACAGCUCUUGAUUCUGAAAUCCCUAAUUAAUUCACCAACGAUUCCUUUAUAGUUAUAAAUAGUUCUUGAUUGGUUAUCCCAUUUGUGAUGUCUUUUGUGACAAAAUCAGGAGACUAGGGACAGCCACUGGUUCCUUACCCGCUGAGGCCAUUCCUGCAGAGUAAAGCAGAUUUAUAGGUUACUGUAAGAACCUGUAACACAGUAGUGUAGCCAGCAAUACAAUGACAGUCCUACAGGCCAAUUACACGGUUAUAGCCAGUGUGCUACUCACCGAAUAGAACACCCAAGGCGGAAAACAAGCGGUACAUCAUCUGCAAAUAACCAGAAAGGAUAGAGACAUGACAAAAAGUAGAAACGUUUUUUAAAGCAACCAACAUUGUGAAAGUAGCCUAUGCUUUGUAGGUAGCCUUACAGGUUUCUACCAUCCUCAAAUUCAUGUAGCUGUUUUAGGCUGUGAAGGAGAGAAGUUAAAAAGAUGUGUACUUCCUAGCAGCCCACGUUAUUCGUAGUUUUGAGUCAUAAAGAAAUCUAAAAUGUAACAUAAAAUGUGUAACACCACGAUGUUACCAAAUAAAUCGCACUAAUUGGCGACACUGUGACAUAGUAAAUUUGUACGCUAGUUAAUUAACGAAUUAUUUGUAAAUGGUUGAUCGUAAACUAAUGAAGACAUGUUACAGUAGUGUAUACUCACGGUUAGUUUUGUUUGCUUGGAGUAUACACACAAUUCAAGUGCACUUCAGACGUGUGUUAGGUGCAUCGAGUCCAUGCUGGAAAAGGUUGUUAUCAACUGGAACUCACGUCAGUCAGUACACCAACAAACCACGCCCUCGUUCUUGAGAAAAAUCGUUUUAAUAUCGCCCUGACCACCCGCAGUCACAUGAGCAACGUCUCUAUACCAUUUAUUUUCACCAUCUUGGCUGCUAGCUAUCAUUAAUCUAGCCUUUAGCUUGCCCAAACAUUGCCCUCACCACAGCACAUUAGUUGCUCCCGAACUGCUGUGUCCUUAGCGGAAACCGGAAUAUAGCAGAGUAGAGACACUACACUCCUCCCAUUUGGUUGAGGGGACGGAGUAUGCAUGGUUGUCCUAUGUUUCCAACAUGGUGAGAUCCACAUAGGUGACAACAAGACUCCCAUCUGAAACUAGAAAUAUCUGUAACAUAAUACCUUCAGAUAACUCUACAAUCAUGUUUGGGUUGUUCCACUUCCUUUGCAUUGUGACCUGUGUCGCUGCUUCCAAGCAAAUAUAUGGGAUGUGCCCUGGAACGUCAUUCUACAUACCCCGUUCACUUGCAUAUGAUCCCGAAAUGUCAGAUCUAUAUUUCACACCACAGUCUCCUUCAGCCAAGGCUGUAAUGGUUCUCAACAAAACGCAGCCGACAGACGAUCAUUACAAGUUCAAGGAUCAGACGCUCUUCAUUUCCGAAUUACGGGAGACAGACACAGGGAUUUUCUCUUGGGGGGUUGACGUGAAUUUUCACACGGUCCUCAAACUUGUGAUUAAAGACUGUACUAUGCCACAGGUGGUUGGCUUCGGACAACCUUUGAAAUUGAAGGUUCCCCACGAGGCAUCCAUCCUAGAGUUUGUCCAUCCAUCUUCCCCGAAUAGAGGGGAGGUUCUAUGGAACACCUCCAGUUCCUAUGACGAUGUUUCCAAGGGUGUUAUUCAGGAGUCCUACUGGAUGGUUCGUGCGGCAACCACCGCUGACAUGGGUUCUUACACUUUCCGGAAACAAAGUGGGGCAGAGGUCUCGAAAACACAGGUGACCAUUACAGCCAAUGUUCAGGCUUUCAAUAUGGAUGAGGAACUGUAUGGAAGUGGCAUCUGGGGAACCAAUCUUCAGAUCCCUGACCAUGAAAUAUCGGUGGUUUUCAGUCCACAACCAGGCGAGGAAUACCGGAUUGUUAGCGGAGGGACACAAACGGACGAGGGAAAACGGCUCUUUGAGGAUCGGAUUCGGUUGCGAGGCAGCCCGAAUGCAUUCAUCCUCGAGCUGGAUGAUAUACAGAGGAGUGAUGCAGGCAGAUACCAGUUUUUUGACAAGGAUGGAAUUCUGGUUGCUCUGAGGAUUCUACGUACAUACCAGCAGACCUACUACAUGUAUCUUUUGGCACUGAUCCCUGUAGUGCUCCUCAUACUGCUCGGCGUGUGUGUGUGGAAGUGCUGCUGUAACAAAGGCAAAAGCCGCACCCCCUCUGCCCCAGCAGCUACGGCUCGCCAGUGCCAUGCAGCCCUAUAGUGGAAUAGAGGUGAGUCAGCCUGAGCCAACCAACGAGACAGGGGCUCACCGUCCUUCUGACACGGACUUCACCGACUUCACCGACUUCACCAACUUCACCAACUUCACCACCUCUUUCAGCACGUCCACUACGAACACCACUACCACCGUCUUCCCGUCCUGUACUAGAAAUCAGAGUGGUCCCACUUUUCAACACUGGACCUCAAACAAUGAAGACAUGUCAGACAGGUGUGAAACCUCUUAAUUGCAACCGUUGCUACUUCUCCUUCCACUGCUGGAGGGAUUGUGUUGAGGUGGUCUGUGAUUAGGAAGAAUAUUACACCCUGUUUAGAUGCACCCUGAAUGACAGAUCUAUCAUUAUCAUCUAUCAUCAAUGACAGAUCUAUCAUUAUCUAUCAUCUAUCUGGUAUAUUUGUCAAGAAAAAUAGUUAUGUUAUCUUAAUUUGAUACUUUUUUUGUUUUAUGUUCUUUGAAGGCAUGCUUUAUUUAGAACUUUUCCAUUGGCCUGUUACACCACACAAUGCUUGCAGAUUUAGUUCUGGCCAUUAUUAAUCUGUGUCCUGUGCCUAAUAAGUUUCUGUGCCUAUUGUCUGUCAGAAAAGCCUAAUACUGAACAACUUUGUCAGGGGUAAAUGUUGCAGGUUUCCAAAACAGCUUUUUGGUAAUUUAGCCUUUGGGACCAUUUCUGUAGACACUAACCACAGCCUAUAAGAUCCACAGGGAGGUGAAGAAUUGUACUUGUUCAAAAAUCUGAAAAACAUUACCAAACACACACCAUUUCCUCACACCUCGGACCUGUGCAUAUGUUAUAUGUUAUAUGUAAAUGUAAACUACAUUUGUAAAUGUUUGUGUUUAUGCCCCCUACUACACUGUCUGCCCAGUGCCAGUGUGCCCAAUGCCCACCCAUACAGUACCCUUCAACAGAGUGCAAAAGCUGCAGUGUGUGUCUCUGUGUGCUCACAACCCUAAGGGCCCACAGCGUGGAUUACUCACAUACCACAGUACCUCAGAAAUAUUCUUACACGAUCAUAAAAAAAAAGUGUAACAUGUGUUUCAUAAAUGUCACAUAUGUCAUUUGAAGUAACACUAUGCAACAAUUUGACACUUUUUGAGAUAUGGCUUUAUAGGCAACUAGUUUUGGUACCAUCCUCAAAUUCAUUUUGAUAGCAUAUGGUCAUGUGAAGGACAGAUAAACACCUGUGUCUUCCCCACUAGCCAUCCAGGAUAUGCCCUAUGUAGUUCUGUUUAACGGGCUGGUACACCCUGCAAAAAUGGAAGAAAAGCUUAUACACGCAUGACAUUGCCAGCUAAACUGCCAAAAUACACCAGUUAAAGGCCCUUAGUGUGUUGGCAAGCUUCUAUCAGUGUCAGCUGUUGGUGGUGUUUGCAAGGUUUUUGCAUGCCUUUUAGGUAGUUAGCUUACUAGUUUUUGGAACAGAACUCCGUAUUGCUGCUUUUAGAUCAGGUCAACGUAAUUUUGACAGUGCCUUAUAACAGGCUGUUCUAACCUAGCACUUGUUGUCUUGAGAAAUGCCAUGUCUUUUAAAGCGAUCAUAUGAAUUAGCAGUAACUGUUGUGUAUUGUGUUAAACAUUUCAAAAUGAAAUGCAAAAUUAAUGUAAAAAUGCACUGAAAAAUGUAAAUGUAAAUACUAUUGUCAAAAUAGUUGGAAAGGCUUCAGUUGCUCACAGGUUUUUAUUGACGUUUUUAGUAGAUUAUAAACAAAUCUAAUAUAUUGUUAAAAUGUAAUAGAAGGUUGUGGCAGUUUUUAUGUGAAAAGUCAGUGUUAACUUUUAAGGAAGAAAACAACAAUCCUGAUAAUGUUUUUGAGUUGCUCUUCUGUGUUUUCCCACCUUGAACAGUCUGUUUUGUGGAAUUUUUUUUUUUAAAUAAAAAGACUCUUUUCUUUCUGCAUUUGUUGUGUGUGUUUCUCAGUGUGGUGGUUGUGGCGUAUGUGUGCUUCUGGUAUUGUACAAUGUUCAUGUUAGUCCCUGUGGUACAGUGCGCACGCUACUGAGAACUCAGCGAGUCAUGGCCUCAGUAGAGUCUUAUAGUUUCCCCAGCAGCUGAUGGCCACAUUCUAUUUGUAACAUCCAAUUUCUCAAAGUUUGUUUUCUUUGACAAAGAUAAAAGUAUUGUAUUGAGUUUUUCAUUACUGUAAGGCUUUUGUUUCCAGAUUG